GUCGAAGCUGAGAAUCUAAGCGCCGGUAAACGGCGGUGGUAACUAUAACCAUCCUAAGGUAGCGAAAUUCCUUGUCGGGUAAGUUCCGACCUGCACGAAUGGCGUAACGACUUCCCCGCUGUCUCAACCACAGGCCCGGCGAAAUUGCACUACGAGUAAAGAUGCUCGUUUCGCGCAGCAGGACGGAAAGACCCCGGGACCUUCACUAUAGCUUGGCAUUGGCGCCUGAAGCGUCUUGUGUAGGAUAGGUGGGAGACUGUGAAGCGGCACGCCAGUGUCGGUGGAGUCAUUGGUGAAAUACCACUCUGGUCGUUUUGAGCGUCUAACCCGCACCCGUGUAUCCGGGUGGGGGACAGUGCCUGGUGGGUAGUUUAACUGGGGCGGUUGCCUCCCAAAGAGUAACGGAGGCGCCCAAAGGUUCCCUCAGCCUGGUUGGCAAUCAGGUGGCGAGUGCAAGGGCACAAGGGAGCUUGACUGUGAGACAGACAUGUCGAGCAGGUGCGAAAGCAGGGCCUAGUGAUCCGGCACCUACGUGUGGAAGUGGUGUCGCUCAACGGCUAAAAGGUACCCCGGGGAUAACAGGCUGAUCUUCCCCAAGAGUCCAUAUCGACGGGAUGGUUUGGCACCUCGAUGUCGGCUCGUCGCAUCCUGGGGCUGGAGUAGGUCCCAAGGGUUGGGCUGUUCGCCCAUUAAAGCGGCACGCGAGCUGGGUUUAGAACGUCGCGAGACAGUUCGGUCCCUAUCCGCUGCGCGCGUAGGAGAAUUGAGAGGAUCUGUCCCUAGUACGAGAGGACCGGGACGGACGGACCUCUGGUGUGCCAGUUGUCCCGCCAGGGGCACGGCUGGUUGGCUACGUUCGGUAGGGAUAACCGCUGAAAGCAUCUAAGCGGGAAGCCUGCCUCAAGAUGAGUUCUCCCUCC
rnacentral:rRNA from 1 species